UCCAGUUUGGGUGACAGGCGAGACUCUGUCUUUGUUUCUUGUUUUUUUUUUUUUUUUUUUUUUUUUUUUAAUAGGGACAAAAACAGGGCAGACCUUCCCCUUGAGGCUAAGGGGAUGCAAAACUCUAGGCAAAGAGAAGAGAACGAUGUACUUCAAAAAAAAAAAAAAAAAAAAAAAAAAAAAAAAUCCACAGCAAGGCAGACGAUCCCACCCACUUCUGGCUCUGGUAGCUUGGCAGGCAACACCUCUAGAGCUCUUGCAUAGAGUAGUGAAAGAAAUGUGUACUGGUAGGAGAAUGUGGACUUCUGCAAAGGGAUAUUGACAAUGUAAGUUGUAAUGGAUUUUUUAAACCAGUUUCUGAAUAUACAUGAAUAUGGAUGAUAAUUAUUCUUUCCCUAUAUACCACGUAUUAACAAAAUAAAUGUCAAGCAGUGUGUUACAUUGCACGCUCUUUGUUUUCAUGAUUUCAUUAACCCUUGAACAUAUUUUGAAGGAAACAGUAAGAAAUUAGAUUCAAAUAUGAAUUAUCAGACUAUUAGGG
rnacentral:lncRNA from 1 species